GACGAACGCUGGCGGCGUGCCCAACACAUGCAAGUCGAGCGAGUGAAUCUCCUUCGGGAGUGAAACUAGCGGCGGACGGGUGAGUAACACGUGGGCAACCUGCCUCAUAGAGGGGAAUAGCCUUUCGAAAGGAAGAUUAAUACCGCAUAAGAUUGUAGCUUCGCAUGAAGUAGCAAUUAAAGGAGUAAUCCGCUAUGAGAUGGGCCCGCGGCGCAUUAGCUAGUUGGUGAGGUAACGGCUCACCAAGGCGACGAUGCGUAGCCGACCUGAGAGGGUGAUCGGCCACAUUGGGACUGAGACACGGCCCAGACUCCUACGGGAGGCAGCAGUGGGGAAUAUUGCACAAUGGGGGAAACCCUGAUGCAGCAACGCCGCGUUAGUGAUGACGGCCUUCGGGUUGUAAAGCUCUGUCUUCAGGGACGAUAAUGACGGUACCUGAGGAGGAAGCCACGGCUAACUACGUGCCAGCAGCCGCCGUAACAC
rnacentral:rRNA from 1 species